CAACAUACAAAACACUGUGAGAAAGGAAAGACAUUGAGUUUUUAACAAGAAUCACAAUGGAUUGUGAACAUGAAAGAAGGAACUGGUAUGUUAUGAUAACGUAUAUGGAGAUAAUGGAUAAUUAGAGAAGAAGAAUUUGAAGGUAAAACUCUAUAGUUCUGUUUCCGACAGAUUUAAGUUUGAAAUGUAUUUUACAAACCAAGUGAAAACACAGCUCAUCAGAGACAUCUGGACUUAUAGCAGGCUUGAGGCCUUAUAACAGAUAAGGAAUAUGAAGCACUGGAAAUGUAAAUGAUUUGCCCAUGAUGACAG